rnacentral:tRNA from 1 species
CCGCAGCUACACUGCCCGAGAACCUGGCGAGAAACGUAACAUGGAGAAUGCAGGGGAGAGGAUCAACGGCGAGGGGGCAGCUGCUGCGGCAUGUGUCCUCCGGGCCGGACCCUGCCUGCGGUCAGCAGCGGUGCCGCAUGGCCCAGCUGCGGCGGCCGGGGGCGGCAAGGGGCUUCGUUUCUGCUUAUUCAGAGGCGCGCGGCCGCCAUGUCUCGGGGCAGCGUCACUGCAGUCUCCCCGGGUCCCGCGCUCCGGCUCGCCGCGCCCGCCCGCUCCACCUGCUCCCUCCGGCCGCGCUGCAGCCGGUGCGGAAUGAUGCAGCGUCGGCCCGCUCCCUCCCUGCGCGCUGGCCGGGGCUCCGGGCGGGAGGCGGGGAGGCGGGGAGGCGGCGCGGGGGGAGGGGGAGGGAACAGACGGAAAACCUCCGGAGGCGCCUCCCGCCGGUGCCCGGCGCUGAGGCUGAGACGGCUGGACGCGUGCGGGGUGGGACCCCAGCCCGGCCUGGCCCUGCCCGCCCGACUGGCCGCCGGAUGGGUGUCUCGCUGAGACGUGAGCCCAAGCUCAGGAAGCUGCCCGGAACCGGUGCCUUCCUCGAAGAGAAGCAAACGCUUUGCAGCCUUGAUCUCACUGCAGUUAAGAAGCCCAUCCCCACCCAUGUGCUCCUGUAGUGAGUGCCCAGUCUCCGUGACAAUGACAAAUGACCAUGAACUGCUGAAGAAAUGGAGAGGAAACCUGUGAUUGCAGUUAGCUAAACUGUCUUCUUCCCAGGAUGCCCUUACGCCACAAAGUAUAAGCACAGCUCUUCAAAGGGAUCACAACACUUGGGGUAGGUUGCUGUGUCUCUCUUUCCUCUGGAUAGAACAAAGAAUGGAAUUUUCUUCUGUAACUUUCCUAAGUUUCCAUUGCCACCCAUUGCCUAUGCCCCAUUUUCCUGAUUGAUACAAUUUUGUUAAUAUAUUCAGCCUGAGUUCAUUAAGACAUGUACACUAGUUUAAUAGUUUAAGAUUUGAUUACAACUUUGAUCCUUUCUAAGUAUUUCACUUGAAAAAAGUAAGCAUUUCCUUAUACAUUAUACUCUUCCAGUAUUGCAGUUAUAUUUCUCUCUAUAUUCAUAUAUGUGUCAUACAUAUCAUAUAUACAUGCAUACAUACAUAUGUAUAUAUAAAUCAAUGACAGGUACCCAGAAAAUAAUUUCUUAAAUCAUUUGUAGAAGCACGGUUCCCUCAUAUUUCUUUGUCUUAGCAGCCUCCAAUCAUUUAUGAUACUUUCUAACAAAUAUAUUAAAAAAAGUUGUGUUUUUGUGGUCUAGUACCUCAAACCAGAGUGUCUCAGGUGUCUCAGUGGCAAAGAAUCUGCCUGCCAAGCAGGAGACCUGGGUUUGAUCCCUGGGUCGGGAAGGUCCCCAGGAGAAGGAAAUGGCAGCCGCUCCAGUGUUCUCGCUUGGGAAAUCCCAUGGACGGCGGAGCCUGGUAUGACUUUGCAACUGAACUGCCACCACCACCACCUCAAACCAACCUUUCAGCAACUUUGUCAGCAUGAAUAUUGCUUUCUCUUGCUCUCAUUCUUUCAUUCAGUGAUU